CCUCUACAAGUGUGACAUCAGCGGUCAUGGAGAGUCUCCAUCCAGCUGGAUCACUGUCACAGACAAACACACCACCACACCUCCACCUACAUCCACACCUCCAACUACAUCGCUCUCGCCACCUGCUCUCUCUGUGCUGCAGUUGUUGUUUGUUAGGUCGGUCUAUGUUGUGGUUCUACUGGUGUUACUGGUUCUGCUGAGGAUACAAUGUGUUCACAGGAGAGAAGGAUGCAGUUGCAGACAAUUCAGCAUUGAGAACUGAAGAUGUCAGUUAUGGACAAACAACCAGAACAAGAAGGCCCAGGAGCUGCCCUCAGAUUCAGACUUCAGCACCAACCAGGGACAGCAGACAGA